GACGAAGGAUGCAAGCGUUAUCCGGAUUCAUUGGGUUUAAAGGGAGCGUAGGUGGUCUUAUAAGUCAGUGGUGAAAUCUCUGGGCUUAACCCAGAAAUUGCCAUUGAUACUGUAGGACUUGAGUAUAGUUGCCGUUGGCGGAAUAUGACAUGUAGUGGUGAAAUACAUAGAGAUGUCAUAGAACACCGAUUGCGAAGGCAGCUAACGAAAACUAUAACUGACACUGAGGCUCGAAAGUGCGGGGAUCAAACAGG
rnacentral:rRNA from 1 species